UACUAGAUAAUAGGGGCGGAUGUAGCCAAGUGGAUCAAGGCAGUGGAUUUGUGAAUCCACCAUGG
rnacentral:tRNA from 1 species